rnacentral:rRNA from 1 species
CGGACUCAUAUUGAACCUAGUGAUUUAUGAGUUAGUGGCGGACGGGUGAGUAACGCGUGGAAAACCUGCCGUAUACCGGGGGAUAACACUUAGAAAUAGGUGCUAAUACCGCAUAAGCGCACAGCUUCGCAUGAAGCAGUGUGAAAAACUCCGGUGGUAUAUGAUGGUUCCGCGUCUGAUUAGCUAGUUGGCGGGGUAACGGCCCACCAAGGCAGCGAUCAGUAGCCGGCCUGAGAGGGUGAACGGCCACAUUGGGACUGAGACACGGCCCAAACUCCUACGGGAGGCAGCAGUGGGGAAUAUUGCACAAUGGGGGAAACCCUGAUGCAGCGACGCCGCGUGAGUGAAGAAGUAUUUCGGUACGUAAAGCUCUAUCAGCAGGGAAGAAAAGGAACUAAAGUUCCCAUGACGGUACCUGAUUAAGAAGCCCCGGCUAACUACGUGCCAGCAGCCGCGGUAAUACGUAGGGGGCAAGCGUUAUCCGGAUUUACUGGGUGUAAAGGGAGCGUAGACGGCAGCGCAAGUCUGGAGUGAAAUGCCGGGGCCCAACCCCGGAACUGCUUUGGAAACUGUGCAGCUGGAGUGCGGGAGAGGUAAGUGGAAUUCCUAGUGUAGCGGUGAAAUGCGUAGAUAUUAGGAGGAACACCAGUGGCGAAGGCGGCUUGCUGGACCGUAACUGACGUUGAGGCUCGAAAGCGUGGGGAGCAAACAGGAUUAGAUACCCUGGUAGUCC